rnacentral:misc_RNA from 1 species
AACGCAUAUUGCGCCCUUUGGUAUUCCGAAGGGCAUGCCUGUUCGAGCGUCAUUAUCAACCAUCAAGCCUGGGCUUGUCGUUGGACUCGUGGUCGUCAUGACCGGUCCGAAAGAUAAUGGACGGCGGUGAUUAGCCCCCCGAUGCAACGAGCUUUUAAUAGCACGCAUUGAAGGGUUGGUCACCCCCGGCCUCACACUCCAUUUUCUCAGGUUGACCUCGGAUCAGGUAGGAAUACCCGCUGAACUUAA